GGUUAAGCGACUAAGCGUACACGGUGGAUGCCCUGGCAGUCAGAGGCGAUGAAGGACGUGCUAAUCUGCGAUAAGCGUCGGUAAGGUGAUAUGAACCGUUAUAACCGGCGAUUUCCGAAUGGGGAAACCCAGUGUGUUUCGACACACUAUCAUUAACUGAAUCCAUAGGUUAAUGAGGCGAACCGGGGGAACUGAAACAUCUAAGUACCCCGAGGAAAAGAAAUCAACCGAGAUUCCCCCAGUAGCGGCGAGCGAACGGGGAGGAGCCCAGAGCCUGAAUCAGUGUGUGUGUUAGUGGAAGCGUCUGGAAAGGCGCGCGAUACAGGGUGACAGCCCCGUACACAAAAAUGCACAUGCUGUGAGCUCGAUGAGUAGGGCGGGACACGUGGUAUCCUGUCUGAAUAUGGGGGGACCAUCCUCCAAGGCUAAAUACUCCUGACUGACCGAUAGUGAACCAGUACCGUGAGG
rnacentral:rRNA from 1 species